CCUGGGCAUAGUGAUGGUCACUGCAAGGAGGAAGGAGAACAUCACUGCUCAUGGCUCUGCUGGCUGACUUUGACAAUGAUACAGCAAAACUGCUCCACAGCUGCAGAGAAGACUGAACGGAUCUCGGGCUAGAUGUAGUGUCAGAUUCAGUGGCAAGAUUUGGGAAGGUGAAAAACUGAAAUGCAUUUAACACUCCAGGCUAUGCUGCUGUUAAAAUUCAGCAGGAUUUUAGCCAUAUGUGCUCUGCAAUUGUGAUGUCCAGAGAUGCCAAGAAGUGUUUUUAUGAGCAGGUACUCAUGUGAGGGAGGAAGGAAAACACUGGAGAAGACAACACUUCUCAAUAUAUUUGGUAUCUUCAUAACCAUUCUAAAUUGAUGCCAGUUGGGGCUGCAGCUAUAGAGGCUCUUCACUCGCAGGAGAAAGGUAGAUGGUACGUUGUUAUACUGCUCCAUGCAAUUCUAUACAGUACAUUG